rnacentral:rRNA from 1 species
UGGGGAAUAUUGGGCAAUGGGCGAAAGCCUGACCCAGCGACGCCGCGUGAAGGAAGAAGGUCUUCGGAUUGUAAACUUCUUUUAUCAGGGACGAAAACUGACGGUACCUGAUGAAUAAGCCACGGCUAACUACGUGCCAGCAGCCGCGGUAAUACGUAGGUGGCAAGCGUUAUCCGGAUUUACUGGGUGUAAAGGGUGUGUAGGCGGGACGGCAAGUCAGAUGUGAAAACUAUGGGCUCAACUCAUAGCCUGCAUUUGAAACUACUGUUCUUGAGGGUCGGAGAGGUAACUGGAAUUCCUAGUGUAGCGGUGAAAUGCGUAGAUAUUAGGAGGAACACCAGAGGCGAAGGCGGCUUACUGGACCACAACUGACGCUGAGGCUCGAAAGCGUGGGGAGCAAACAGGAUUAGAUACCC